AACGAACGCUGGCGGCAGGUCUUAGGCAUGCAAGUCGAACGGAUGAAGCAGGUGCUUGCACUUGUGGAUUCAGUGGCGCACGAGUGAGUAACGCGUGGGAAACUGCCCAUCACUGGGGAAUAACGUUUGGAAACGAACGCUAAUACCGCAUACGCCGGAAACGGGAAAGAUUUAUCGGUGAUGGAUGUGCCCGCGUUGGAUUAGCUUGUUGGUGGGGUAACGGCCUACCAAGGCGAUGAUCCAUAGCUGGUCUGAGAGGACGAUCAGCCACGCUGGAACUGAGACACGGUCCAGACUCCUACGGGAGGCAGCAGCUAAGAAUAUUGGGCAAUGGGGGAAACUCUGACCCAGCCAUGCCGCGUGAAUGAAGAAGGCCUUCGGGUGUAAACUAUUGUCGUUAGGAGAGAA
rnacentral:rRNA from 1 species